rnacentral:rRNA from 1 species
UACGGGGGAUGCGAGCGUUAUCCGGAUUUAUUGGGUUUAAAGGGCGCGUAGGCGGGACGGCAAGUCAGCGGUAAAAGACUGCAGCUAAACUGUAGCACGCCGUUGAAACUGUUGACCUCGAGACGAGACGAGGGAGGCGGAACAAGUGAAGUAGCGGUGAAAUGCAUAGAUAUCACUUGGAACCCCGAUAGCGAAGGCAGCUUCCCAGGCUCGUUCUGACGCUGAUGCGCGAGAGCGUGGGUAGCGAACAGG